AGCCAAUAUCCACACUGACUGCCCUGUUCUCCUUUUCAGAUAGAACUCUCCAUAUUGUGGCUGAUGAUAAGAUUGCCAAAUUUAGCAAAAACAAAAACCAGGGUAUCCAGUUAAAUUUGAAUUUCAGACAGAUAAUGAAUGGUUCUUUAGCGUAAGUAUGUUCCAUGCAAUCCUUGGGACAUGAUUAUACUAAAAAAUGAUUCAUUGCUUAUAUAAAAUUCAAAUUUAACUGAGCAUCCUGUAUUUUACCUGGCAACCCUACUACAGGGGUGUUGCCGACGGGAGGUAAAUACCUGGCUACCUGACACUCUAAUGCAUGGGAAAGGAGAGUAAGGAGAGAGUGAUGGUUUAAUUUACAAGCCCUCAAAAUAAUUGUGGAUUUCCAUCUUCCUAGAACCAUGUCAAGAGAAUGAUGAAGAAUGGAGCUGGCCAGCUGGUCUACUCUCUCAGGCCACAGCCCCUCUAGAGAUCAGCACAAUUCAAAGCACCUUACUGAUUGAACAAACAGGAUGACUCUGCCAUUUUUUAAGGUACUAUAAUUCCCGUGGAGGUUCACUAAUAAUAUUU
rnacentral:lncRNA from 12 species